CUCGGCCAGGGCUCCCCGUCCUUCCCCUGCCGGCCGAGAGCGCCCUGACACACAGCGGGCAGCAUGCCUGAGCCUGGCUAAACCUCAUCAGUAGUCCUGUGAGGGCAGGAAAAAAAUGUCACUUUUCAGAUGGAUAAUAUGGAAGAUGAUGAAGGAUGAAUGGAACAGCCCACGCAUUGCCCUGGCCUUCUUAAGCAUUACAGCAGAAAAAUAUUAACAGAAGUGAUAUGUUCAGCGGGGCAGGAGAGGACAAAAGGAGACAAGCUGGGCCUGGAGCUAGAGUGUGACUGAUCUCAAGAAGAAUGAAGCAGUUCUGCGGGACAGACAGUCUGAGCAGCGUAUGGAAAAACAGGAAGAGACGCUGGGGAGAGAACAUUGCUUGGGUGAAGCCCAUACAAGCUAGAAAUCACUUAGCCUCUCCAAGACCCACCAAGACAACAGAAGGAUAAAUGAAAUGCCAUUUGCAUGCGUUCUUCCAAGUCCCCACUCUCUCUCCAUUCUCCUCAGCUGAGAAUUUCUGCAUGUAUCUACCUAAUGAAAAAUUUAUCUUCUUUUCCUCAAUGAAAAUCUAAGAAAUUCAUGGGACAGACCAGUUUCAAAGGCAAACAAGAAUCACACGAUGGCCACAGUAGGAGAAUUUUCUCCUUUUUGAGAUGUUCUCUUUUCGGCCAUGUGAGGUCAGCCUUUGAAGCCCAGUCACAUAGCUCUUCAUAUAAUAUAAGAAUUUUUUAAUCAACCAGACACUAAUAUAAAACUGG